rnacentral:rRNA from 1 species
CGGUGAUAAGAUGUUACCUACGUAACGACUUAUAAUGAUCUUUUCCGUAGGUGAACCUGCGGAAGGAUCAUUA